rnacentral:rRNA from 1 species
GGUGGAUGCCCUGGCAGUCAGAGGCGAUGAAGGACGUGCUAAUCUGCGAUAAGCGUCGGUGAGGUGAUAUGAACCGUUAUAACCGGCGAUUUCCGAAUGGGGAAACCCAGUGUGUUUCGACACACUAUCAUUAACUGAAUCCAUAGGUUAAUGAGGCGAACCGGGGGAACUGAAACAUCUAAGUACCCCGAGGAAAAGAAAUCAACCGAGAUUCCCCCAGUAGCGGCGAGCGAACGGGGAGGAGCCCAGAGCCUGAAUCAGUGUGUGUGUUAGUGGAAGCGUCUGGAAAGGCGUGCGAUACAGGGUGACAGCCCCGUACACAAAAAUGCACAUAUUGUGAGCUCGAUGAGUAGGGCGGGACACGUGGUAUCCUGUCUGAAUAUGGGGGGACCAUCCUCCAAGGCUAAAUACUCCUGACUGACCGAUAGUGAACCAGUACCGUGAGGGAAAGGCGAAAAGAACCCCGGCGAGGGGAGUGAAAAAGAACCUGAAACCGUGUACGUACAAGCAGUGGGAGCCUCUUAAUGGGGUGACUGCGUACCUUUUGUAUAAUGGGUCAGCGACUUAUAUUCUGUAGCAAGGUUAACCGAAUAGGGGAGCCGAAGGGAAACCGAGUCUUAACUGGGCGUUAAGUUGCAGGGUAUAGACCCGAAACCCGGUGAUCUAGCCAUGGGCAGGUUGAAGGUUGGGUAACACUAACUGGAGGACCGAACCGACUAAUGUUGAAAAAUUAGCGGAUGACUUGUGGCUGGGGGUGAAAGGCCAAUCAAACCGGGAGAUAGCUGGUUCUCCCCGAAAGCUAUUUAGGUAGCGCCUCGUGAAUUCAUCUCCGGGGGUAGAGCACUGUUUCGGCAAGGGGGUCAUCCCGACUUACCAACCCGAUGCAAACUGCGAAUACCGGAGAAUGUUAUCACGGGAGACACACGGCGGGUGCUAACGUCCGUCGUGAAGAGGGAAACAACCCAGACCGCCAGCUAAGGUCCCAAAGUCAUGGUUAAGUGGGAAACGAUGUGGGAAGGCCCAGACAGCCAGGAUGUUGGCUUAGAAGCAGCCAUCAUUUAAAGAAAGCGUAAUAGCUCACUGGUCGAGUCGGCCUGCGCGGAAGAUGUAACGGGGCUAAACCAUGCACCGAAGCUGCGGCAGCGACACUAUGUGUUGUUGGGUAGGGGAGCGUUCUGUAAGCCUGUGAAGGUGGCCUGUGAGGGUUGCUGGAGGUAUCAGAAGUGCGAAUGCUGACAUAAGUAACGAUAAAGCGGGUGAAAAGCCCGCUCGCCGGAAGACCAAGGGUUCCUGUCCAACGUUAAUCGGGGCAGGGUGAGUCGACCCCUAAGGCGAGGCCGAAAGGCGUAGUCGAUGGGAAACAGGUUAAUAUUCCUGUACUUGGUGUUACUGCGAAGGGGGGACGGAGAAGGCUAUGUUGGCCGGGCGACGGUUGUCCCGGUUUAAGCGUGUAGGCUGGUUUUCCAGGUAAAUCCGGAAAACCAAGGCUGAGGCGUGAUGACGAGGCACUACGGUGCUGAAGUGACAAAUGCCCUGCUUCCAGGAAAAGCCUCUAAGCAUCAGGUAACAUCAAAUCGUACCCCAAACCGACACAGGUGGUCAGGUAGAGAAUACCAAGGCGCUUGAGAGAACUCGGGUGAAGGAACUAGGCAAAAUGGUGCCGUAACUUCGGGAGAAGGCACGCUGAUAUGUAGGUGAAGCGACUUGCUCGUGGAGCUGAAAUCAGUCGAAGAUACCAGCUGGCUGCAACUGUUUAUUAAAAACACAGCACUGUGCAAACACGAAAGUGGACGUAUACGGUGUGACGCCUGCCCGGUGCCGGAAGGUUAAUUGAUGGGGUUAGCGGUAACGCGAAGCUCUUGAUCGAAGCCCCGGUAAACGGCGGCCGUAACUAUAACGGUCCUAAGGUAGCGAAAUUCCUUGUCGGGUAAGUUCCGACCUGCACGAAUGGCGUAAUGAUGGCCAGGCUGUCUCCACCCGAGACUCAGUGAAAUUGAACUCGCUGUGAAGAUGCAGUGUACCCGCGGCAAGACGGAAAGACCCCGUGAACCUUUACUAUAGCUUGACACUGAACAUUGAGCCUUGAUGUGUAGGAUAGGUGGGAGGCUUUGAAGUGUGGACGCCAGUCUGCAUGGAGCCGACCUUGAAAUACCACCCUUUAAUGUUUGAUGUUCUAACGUUGGCCCGUAAUCCGGGUUGCGGACAGUGUCUGGUGGGUAGUUUGACUGGGGCGGUCUCCUCCUAAAGAGUAACGGAGGAGCACGAAGGUUGGCUAAUCCUGGUCGGACAUCAGGAGGUUAGUGCAAUGGCAUAAGCCAGCUUGACUGCGAGCGUGACGGCGCGAGCAGGUGCGAAAGCAGGUCAUAGUGAUCCGGUGGUUCUGAAUGGAAGGGCCAUCGCUCAACGGAUAAAAGGUACUCCGGGGAUAACAGGCUGAUACCGCCCAAGAGUUCAUAUCGACGGCGGUGUUUGGCACCUCGAUGUCGGCUCAUCACAUCCUGGGGCUGAAGUAGGUCCCAAGGGUAUGGCUGUUCGCCAUUUAAAGUGGUACGCGAGCUGGGUUUAGAACGUCGUGAGACAGUUCGGUCCCUAUCUGCCGUGGGCGCUGGAGAACUGAGGGGGGCUGCUCCUAGUACGAGAGGACCGGAGUGGACGCAUCACUGGUGUUCGGGUUGUCAUGCCAAUGGCACUGCCCGGUAGCUAAAUGCGGAAGAGAUAAGUGCUGAAAGCAUCUAAGCACGAAACUUGCCCCGAGAUGAGUUCUCCCUGACUCCUUGAGAGUCCUGAAGGAACGUUGAAGACGACGACGUUGAUAGGCCGGGUGUGUAAGCGCAGCGAUGCGUUGAGCUAACCGGUACUAAUGAACCGUGAGGCUUAACCU